GACGUAGGGCGCGAGCGUUGUCCGGAUUUAUUGGGCGUAAAGAGCUCGUAGGCGGCUUGUCGCGUCGACUGUGAAAGCCCGCGGCUCAACCGCGGGUCUGCAGUCGAUACGGGCAGGCUAGAGUUCGGUAGGGGAGACUGGAAUUCCUGGUGUAGCGGUGAAAUGCGCAGAUAUCAGGAGGAACACCGAUGGCGAAGGCAGGUCUCUGGGCCGAUACUGACGCUGAGGAGCGAAAGCAUGGGGGAGCGAACAGG
rnacentral:rRNA from 1 species